rnacentral:lncRNA from 1 species
CCCACUUCUCUUCCCCCUUGGCCGCCGCCCCCUUGCCCAUCUCCUCCUCUCUCAAUUCUUGCAGCCACCAAACCCUAGUCGCCCCCCCUCUCAAUUCCCUCCUCCCAAGGUGCCAAUCCUUGCCGCUCGGAUCAUCGUCGUCGUGGUGCGAGUCUUCAAUCGUUUUGGUGGAGGGAAGAAGGGAGGAAGGAAAGGGGGAGAAUCCAAGGUGAUUUUUGUGUUCAUCCCUUGUUCAUUUGCCAUGCAAUUUAAUUGAUUAGAGGUUGCGUUUGCGAUUGGGGUAGAGGGGGGCUGUCCAGAAUUUUAGGUGGUGGGUGAACAGCAGUAGUCUAGCAGUUUCUGUGUUUUUUUUCGUGAGGAAUUAAGGAAAAUCAGUUUGGGGAUCAUGUAGAACUUUACCUUACCUUUCCAACGAGUAUUUAUGCGCUCAAUUUGGAGUUAUAAAUUGAAAGUUAUCACCGUUUGAAUCCGGGUAUGUGGCUGUCCAAAAAAACAGAUUUUUCAGGGGGAUGAACAGCAGCAGUAUUAGCAGUUUCUGGGGAUUUUUCGGGAGUAAUUAGUGUUAAUCAGUAUGAGAAUCAUGUAGGGCUUUAUGUUAUCUUUCCAACAAGUACUUAUGCGCUCGAUUCGGAGUUAUAAUUCAGGAGAUAUCGUUGUUUGAAUCCGGUUAUGUUGCUGUCCAAAAAAAACAGAUUUUUCAGGUGGGUGAACAGCAGUGGUAUUAGCAGUUUCUGGGAAUUUUUCAUAAGUAAUUAGUGUUAACCAGUAUGGUAAUCAUGUAGGGAUUUGUCUUAUCUUUCCAAUGAGUACUUAUGCGCUUGAUUUGGAAUUAUAUUUUAAAAGAUAUCGCUGUUUGAAUCUGGGUAUGUCGCUGUCCAAAAGACAAAGAAAAAAACAGAUUACAGAGUUCAUCUUUUGGACUGUUUUGGGCUAAUUAGAUAUUGGAAUUAAAUUAUAAAUUGUAUACAAAACUUGUGGGGAAUUUUAUGUAGAUGCCUCUGGAGUUUUUGUUUGUUACCACUGCUGUCAUAAUUUUAAAGUUAUGAAAUUAUUAAGCAGCGCCGCUGCAGUUUGGUGGGUGUAGGGAGAGAUGUAACCCGCGGCGGGGUUUGAGUUUGUGCGUAGGUGCGGCGUCGCUUAUGAGCCUGAUUAUGUGAAAUUGGUGUACUAAGUUGGGUGUCAAAAACAGGUGGUGGGCUUCCAGAUCGUACUUGGGAUUUGCCCGAACUUCCGAUAAAGGCAAGUAAAUACAGUGGUGGUUGCUACCGUUUGGUUUGCAUCCUAUUCCCUGUCAUUGAGUAUGCAUAAGUUUUAAUUAUGUUAAUCAUUGAAUUCUAUGAUGAAGUUUAUUUGUUGGGAAGUAUUAAUUCUCAAUUGUCUAAUAUUGUGGAUGAUCAUAAUUUGGUAAUGAUAUAUGUGGUUGAUUCCCAUCUGGAUGAAGUUGAAGUGUCUUUUUGAAUCAUGUUAUAUGAAGUGUUGUAGGCAUGACAUGCACAUCGCAUCAUCCAUCUUGCAUUUUGAAGUUAUGUCGUGAUCUUAUGGUCCGACCGUACCGGUACAUUUUUAGCAUCGUACGUUGCCCGAGGAGGGGUACGAUGCGGCUUCAUAUCCUUAGAGGUAUGAAGGCAGAAGUCAUCCUUGCAUUUGCAGACAUUUGCACUCAUGAGGAAUAUAUGAAGUGUGACAUUACUAUGUUACUAUUGUGGUUUCUACCUGCGAGGUGUGGUAACUAGGUGCGUUGUACAUUGUAUACGUGCUGCACCUUCGUAAUAAGAAGGUUGUGGAAUUAAGUGGUGGUAAAACAAUGUUCUUAUGUGGUUAAACUGUUUGAUAUUAUUUUACUUGCUGAGAUGUGUCAUCUCACUCUUGCAUUACUCAAUGCAGGUACUCGAUACAUGUUGGGAAUGAGGGGAGUAGCAGCACGUCCACUUUCACUCUCACAAUAACGCUGCCCAGGCGCAGCCAUGAUUUAAUUAGAAACUUAUUGUCAAAGGAAGUUUGUUUAUUUUUUUAUAUGGUCGUGCGCACUGGCUAAUUCAGUUCAGGUCGUAUGUUUAUCUUUCCUUGCUAGCCGAGUAAUAAUACUUAGUAUCUUUUAGUCAUGAUAUAUGUUUAUACUCUGUUGCUCCCUCUUUUAUGCAAUCUUGCAAAGGGGAUGCUGCCGAAAUUUUAUAUAUGGACGUCGGAAGUGUAGUACAGUAGCAUACCGGGUUGUUUGUGGAACCUGGAGUGUUACAGUUGGUAUCAGAGGAUAGGCUUUAGAUUCUACGCAAUUUGAAGAUAAAUUUGACACACUUGCACAUAUAGGAAGGGUAUGGGUUCAUAUUUCUUUCAUAUUAGUAUUUUAUUGUAUAGAUGACUAGAAUUUCCUUACUCCAAACCCCUUUAUGGUUUGAUGAGGUAUGUCGUUAACGACGUAAUGCUUGAUAUGAAAUGUUACUUCUAUUUAAUAUUGGUUUCUUGAUGUGGUUGUUAUUGAAAUUAUUAUGCGAGUGAAGCUACUAAUGUACUUGUUUUAUAUACAUAUCGUCAUGAUGUUUUUGGGAUGCAAUGUUUACUAAUCUCUGAGCUAUUACCAUCAUAUAUUUCUAUAUGCUUGACUGUGGAUAUUUUUUUUCCCAAAAGGAUUCUUGGGUUCUAGUACUUGUAGGACCGAUUGUUUAUUGAGCUUGUGUAUAGAGGAUCUAAUCCGACUUGGUGUAGUGUGAAAACACUAUACAAUGAAGUUUUAUGGUGUUGUUGAGUUGGAUUGACUGUUGGGUUACAACCCAACUUAUCAAUGUAAUAUUUCCAUGGGUGCAGUGCUUUACACCUCACCUUUUUUGGCUAGUGUGGCUGCUUGCCAACUUGAUCUUAGAGUACAAUAGGUUUGUCUCCAUAGAGCAAAGACAAUGUUGUACUGUCUAUGAAAUCUUGAGACUAGAAGAACUCAAGUGAAUUUGCAAGAUGACGUGGGUAGAUAAGUCCAACCAUGUUUACAUGAUAGGUUUUCUUAUUGUGUGCAACCUUAUCUUUAAUAAUAAAUAGGGUGAUUUCAAGUGGAUUUUAUGUCUAUAUUAUAGUUGAAGAGGCAUGCAUGUUUUCCUUCUAUGGUUUGUUUCUAUAGCCAAAAAGGUUAUGCAUAAUUUCUAUUUGUUGGAGGCUAGUCAUGCGGACGAUAUGGACAACCCGUUUUAUAUUGUUUUUAAUCGCCGAUAAUACAUGGUAGUUUUUUUAUAUGAUCAGUUCUCUAUGCAUGCUUGUGGAAUUAUUAUUUGGACCGCUUUAUCUUAAACAAAGUCAAUGUUUAACUAGAAGUUGCUUAUGUUUGUUAGUCAUCUAUCUCUAUAAUGAUGUGGUUGUUGCAUUAGAUGGAGAUUUUUAUUAUAUGAAUGAUGGUUUGAUAGAUCAUGUAUGUCUACUACUUUGAAUUCAUCCUAUGACAUCACUAGGUACAAAUUGUUCAAGUGCAAUAAUAGGAGGUAUUGUUGUAUGUGAGGUUAACCAAAGUAGUUGGGUUAGGUGGAUUAUCUUAUUGAAGUCCAAUUACUCCUGUUGAGCAUCAUAUCGUGUUAUUAUUUUAGUGUUGAAAGUAAUAUUUAUGAAGCUUUUGCAUGAGUCUGUGUCAAGAAGUACAUUAGUUUUUUCUUGUUGUUAUCCCUCCAUUGCUUUAUGAGUAUUGCAAAUUUUAUCUCUUUUGAGAGGGUGAAAAGAUGUUAUAUGACAUGAGCACCAUUUGCUUCACGUCAACAGAAUAGUUUUGGAGAUUUCUAGUAGUUGGAUUCUAGUGUAAUAACAACCAUGUUUUAUAGAGCUGGAGACGGGUAUGUCAGGUGUUUCAUACAUUGUCGGUACAUGGAUGUUUGACCUUAUUGGCAUUAACAAACGAGGUUGUUGAAUUCAUUGAUUGUUGUGCUUAGUGUUCUAACCUAUUUGGUAGAGUGUUAUUUAAAGACUUUGUGGAGUUGCAUCCCAGUUUGGUAGUGGAAAAUCCUAGUGUUGAUGGCACCUGCCAAUGACUUGGGUUUCAUUUUAUAUUGUUUCUUUUUUAUUUGUUGAUAAUGUGUUGUUUGGUUUCGGGAGGCAUUUUAAAUUAGUUGGAGGCUGAAUCAGGCUCACUUAUCUAGAAUGUUUUGUAGUAUGUUUCUGCAUCUUUCCAUAGGAUGCUUAAUCACCAUGUUUGGUCUAAACAUUUGAGAGAUAUGUGUUUCUUAAAACAUCUUUGUUGGUGUCGCUAGCAGAGUGAGUCUUUAAUUUUGUACGGAAGAGUAGACAUUGAAGACGGUAUAAUUUGGUCUUUGUGGAUUAUGAAAGUUUUAGUAAUUUCAUGAUCUUUUCAAAGAGUAUGGGUUUCUAAUUCUCAUUGCAUAUAAUUGGAGUUAGGUUGCUCUGAAGUUGUUGCACUGUUGUGUCUAAACUUUAGGCGUCGUUAUAAUCACCAAUAAAUCGACCGCGUUUUGAUAGUUGCAGGGCACAAAUUUGCGAAUUCUCUUUAAGCAAAACUUGUAGGUAUUUUCAAUACCUUUUUAAUGGGUAUUUACUUGUAACUGUCUGUUAAAUAGAUUUGGAGAGGUGGUUGCCCGGAUAUAAGUCGAAUCUCUAAUAUGCAGUAUCUCAGGCUGAGUUUAGUUGUAGGUCAUGCAGAGUUGUGGGCUAUAAGGAUAAAUUUGGGUGCAACUUUAUUGCAAAAGUCGUGAACAAUUUUCAAAACUUUUCCAACGCGUGUUCGUUGUAGUUUAAGUUGAGUAUAGCAGGAGUUAUAGGUUUUUUGAAUUUUAGUUGUCCAUUGUUUCAAUCUUAUCAGUUUUGAAACAAAAGAGUUGCAUUGUUUUAUCGGUUUGGAAACCAAUUCCGAGACACUAAUUAUAAUAAAAGUUCUAGGGAAUGUUGUAAUCUUUUCAGUGAGUUUAUAUUUGCAAAAUUUUGUUAGCUGCAGGGAGUUAUGAUAUCAUGUAUAGAAUGUGCUUGGAUGAAUAUGUGGGCAGACAUAACAUGCUUAAAUUGAUUCUUGUUUGCAUGAUGUGAGAUUAGGCUUAAAUGAUUUAAAAAGUUAUCAUAUUGCUUCUAUACUUAUAUUUGUUCUAGGUGUCUCGUAAUGAAGAACCUAAAGUUAUUAGUCUUUCAAUGAACGCUUAAUCUUAGAAGAGUAAUGAACCUGAUAAAAUCUAUUGCUUGCUAUUGGGACUGCAUGACCAGUUUUAGUUAUGCAGCUAGUUCAGUGAAGUAAACCAUCUUUUUUGUAGAGAUGUUAUAUAUAGAAGUUGUAGCCAACUUAUUUAUCUUACUUGUGUAAAAAUUUCAUGACCAUAGGUCUAGUAGUUUGGGAGUUAUGAUUUUCUCAAGUCCAGUCUUGAAAUCUAUGCAGGUUCUAUACAGAUUUCGAAGCUGACCUUGUUUGCCCAAUUUAAACUUCGAAUAACUUAUUAUAAAUUAUAAAUAAGUUGUAGUACUUUUCUUAAUCGUUACAACAAAUUUUGGAUAAAUUUUUUUUGGAGAUCUAUAAGUUAAGUUACAGCUGUUUUAAGUGUGAUCUCUGAAUCUGUCCAAAUUUGGACAGCAGAGCCUUUCUCGUGUCUUUUGACCUUAAUAUGCAUGGAAUUAACUUGAUAUGUUUAUAAAUGAAUUAUAGACAAUUCUUCUAGCUUUCUAAAAAGUCUGGGAGCACCUGAAUUGGAUGAUUGAGACUCCAAUUAUGGAUUUUUGAAUUGAGUAGUUGAAUUAUGUCCAAGUCUGGACAGAAUUUACGUUUAGCACUGUUUGACCUUUCUAAGUGUCAAAUCUUGUUGUGAUGAUAAUACCAAGGGUAUAGUGGACUUUAUAAGUUUUCCAUAAAGUCCUAGUUUACUAAUUUUCGAUGCAUAUUUUUGUGAGUUAGGAGCAAAACAAUUAACCGCUUUGCUGCUAUCUAGAAAUAUGCAAGCAUUAAGUUGCUCUCUUGAAGUUGCUCUUGUGUGGCUAAGUUUGGUUUAGCCUAUAGGAACAUUAUAUGCCUUGCAUUCAUAUAUACAUUCCUUGAAGUACUUGCAUAUGUCAAUGAUUGAUUUGGUGUCAGGAAAGCUUGGUCCGAGGUAUAUAGGACCGUCUGCUAUCUUGGCCGAGUUGGCAGCUGGGCUUAGCACAUGUAAUUGUCGGAAUCUGUGAUCAGAGUACACCAAGUAUUCCAUGUCUUUUUGUUGAGGAAGUAUUUGCGGAAUCCAGACCAUCAAAUCGAGCUAAAGCCGAUUCCUGUGUAGCAAGAGCAGACUCUAGAGUGUCGUCUGCUGCGUAUCUGAGAAUCCUAGGAGCUUGAGGAGCUGAUACGGCAGAAGUACUCGAACUUUUCUUUAUGUGUGAGUUUUGUUGAUUCAUUAACCUUUCUUUUGUUGUUCCGAUAGAAGCGUCAGAAUUCGAGGUCGAAUUCUUUUUAAGAGGGGUAGAGUGUGAUACCCGGUUUGCAAUGAAGAGAAGUUGGGGGUUGUUCUUUUUGUUUUUUUUCCUCAUCCGGUUGUUGUUUUGGGGAUUUGGGAUUUUGUGGAAAACAUUCACAACUAGGGCAGUAGAAUUUAUUUGGUUUGACGCUUGCGUUGCGGUCGGGAGCUGUCGCGUAGGUUAGUUGGGCCGUAAUUGGAGUUUCGGCCCAUUAACCCUCCCAAACCCUAGCCGCCUCCCUCCUAACCCCCUCCCCCCAUGUGCAGCCGCCCCCCCCCCCACUUCUCUUCCCCCUUGGCCGCCGCCCCCUUGCCCAUCUCCUCCUCUCUCAAUUCUUGCAGCCACCAAACCCUAGUCGCCCCCCUCUCAAUUCCCUCCUCCCAAGGUGCCAAUCCUUGCCGCUCGGAUCAUCGUCGUCGUGGUGCGAGUCUUCAAUCGUUUUGGUGGAGGGAAGAAGGGAGGAAGGAAAGGGGGAGAAUCCAAGGUGAUUUUUGUGUUCAUCCCUUGUUCAUUUGCGCUGCAAUUUAAUUGAUUAGAGGUUGCGUUUGCGAUUGGGGUAGAGGGGGGCUGUCCAGAAUUUUAGGUGGUGGGUGAACAGCAGUAGUCUAGCAGUUUCUGUGUUUUUUUCGUGAGGAAUUAAGGAAAAUCAGUUUGGGGAUCAUGUAGAACUUUACCUUACCUUUCCAAUGAGUAUUUAUGCGCUCAAUUUGGAGUUAUAAAUUGAAAGUUAUCACCGUUUGAAUCCGGGUAUGUGGCUGUCCAAAAAAACAGAUUUUUCAGGGGGAUGAACAGCAGCAGUAUUAGCAGUUUCUGGGGAUUUUUCGGGAGUAAUUAGUGUUAAUCAGUAUGAGAAUCAUGUAGGGCUUUAUGUUAUCUUUCCAACAAGUACUUAUGCGCUCGAUUCGGAGUUAUAAUUCAGGAGAUAUCGUUGUUUGAAUCCGGUUAUGUUGCUGUCCAAAAAAAACAGAUUUUUCAGGUGGGUGAACAGCAGUGGUAUUAGCAGUUUCUGGGAAUUUUUCGUGAGUAAUUAGUGUUAACCAGUAUGGUAAUCAUGUAGGGAUUUGUCUUAUCUUUCCAAUGAGUACUUAUGCGCUUGAUUUGGAAUUAUAUUUUAAAAGAUAUCGCUGUUUGAAUCUGGGUAUGUCGCUGUCCAAAAGACAAAGAAAAAAACAGAUUACAGAGUUCAUCUUGUGGACUGUUUUGGGCUAAUUAGAUAUUGGAAUUUAAUUAUAAAUUGUAUACAAAACUUGUGGGAAAUUUUAUGUAGAUGCCUCUGGAGUUUUUUUUUGUUACCACUGCUGUCAUAAUUUUAAAGUUAUGAAAUUAUUAAGCAGCGCCGCUGCAGUUUGGUGGGUGUAGUGAGAGAUGUAACCCGCGGCGGGGUUUGAGUUUGUGCGUAGGUGCGGCGUCGCUUAUGAGCCUGAUUAUGUGAAAUUGGUGUACUAAGUUGGGUGUCAAAAACAGGUGGUGGGCUUCCAGAUCGUACUUGGGAUUUGCCCGAACUUCCGAUAAAGGCAAGUAAAUACAGUGGUGGUUGCUACCGUUUGGUUUGCAUCCUAUUCCCUGUCAUUGAGUAUGCAUAAGUUUUAAUUAUGUUAAUCAUUGAAUUCUAUGAUGAAGUUUAUUUGUUGGGAAGUAUUAAUUCUCAAUUGUCUAAUAUUGUGGAUGAUCAUAAUUUGGUAAUGAUAUAUGUGGUUGAUUCCCAUCUGGAUGAAGUUGAAGUGUCUUUUUGAAUCAUGUUAUAUGAAGUGUUGUAGGCAUGACAUGCACAUCGCAUCAUCCAUCUUGCAUUUUGAAGUUAUGUCGUGAUCUUAUGGUCCGACCGUACCGGUACAUUUUUAGCAUCGUACGUUGCCCGAGGAGGGGUACGAUGCGACUUCAUAUCCUUAGAGGUAUGAAGGCAGAAGUCAUCCUUGCAUUUGCAGACAUUUGCACUCAUGAGGAAUAUAUGAAGUGUGACAUUACUAUGUUACUAUUGUGGUUUCUACCUGCGAGGUGUGGUAACUAGGUGCGUUGUACGUUGUAUACGUGCUGCACCUUCGUAAUAAGAAGGUUGUGGAAUUAAGUGGUGGUAAAACAAUGUUCUUAUGUGGUUAAACUGUUUGAUAUUAUUUUACUUGCUGAGAUGUGUCAUCUCACUCUUGCAUUACUCAAUGCAGGUACUCGAUACAUGUUGGGAAUGAGGGGAGUAGCAGCACGUCCACUUUCACUCUCACAAUAACGCUGCCCAAGCGCAGCCAUGAUUUAAUUAGAAACUUAUUGUCAAAGGAAGUUUGUUUAUUUUUUUUAUAUGGUCGUGCGCACUGGCUAAUUCAGUUCAGGUCGUAUGUUUAUCUUUCCUUGCUAGCCGAGUAAUAAUACUUAGUAUCUUUUAGUCAUGAUAUAUGUUUAUACUCUGUUGCUCCCUCUUUUAUGCAAUCUUGCAAAGGGGAUGCUGCCGAAAUUUUAUAUAUGGACGUCGGAAGUGUAGUACAGUAGCAUACCGGGUUGUUUGUGGAACCUGGAGUGUUACAUAAAGAUAUGACCUAAUGUUAUGACUCUUUUUGCUUUGGAUUUUUUGUGGGUUAUAGGACAAACAAAACAAAUAUAAACGUGAAUCUUGAUACCACAUGAUAGAAGGCAAGGUCUGAUCUUCCGUGAGGUAGGAUAACUUGAUUGGGUGGAGAUCUCGAAAUUGAUGACCCAAGGCUCCAAGUGAACGGAUCCUCGCAAACACUACACCACUCCUACAUUGGUUAUCACCCGUGACACACUAGUCCUCUGCACGAAGGCUUAUCCCUGCAAGCGCAAUCAAGAAUACAAGCAAGAACAUGAAGAAUGCAAUCAAAAUUGUAUUGAUGACGAGGUAGUGGCUAUUGAUAAAAUAGAGGUCAGGGG